UUACAUGCACAUGAUGAAGCAGGCAGACAGACUGAGAGCUCCUCUGAGACACUCUGUCUCACGGCCUAGUACACUAUCUCUGGGCUACGGCAGCACUGCAGAGACGUUUUCUGCAGUGAGCGUUCCAGCAGGCCGCCCAGGUCUGAUCCCAGGUCCUUUACCAGGUCAGUGGCCAGGACUGUUCCAAGGUCAGUGACCAGGUCUAUUCCUUCAUCAGUGACCAGGUCUGUUCCCAGGCAGCUUGGGCAGCUGUGGAAGUUGAGAGGGGAGUGAUGUCAGAGAAGAGGAUAGUGACAAGAUGGCCGUGGAACAGCCAGCACCAGACACUGAAGAAGGACAGCUCAUCACCGCUCAGGACGUAGCUCCCAUGCAUCUGAGGAAGGAAGAAGAGGGAAAUCGUAUACAAGCUGCUUAGACAGAUUAUCCCCGGUGCCGACUGCUGCUGGCAGUAGGGCAGAGCGCUCAGACCUGACC
ensembl:lncRNA